rnacentral:tRNA from 1 species
GCGGGGGUAGCUCAGUUGGUAGAGCGCUAGCCUUCCAAGCUGGAUGUCGCGGGUUCGAGCCCCGUCCCCCGCUCCA